rfam:Octopus bimaculoides Scaffold157047_contig_46, whole genome shotgun sequence.
AGCUUUGCACAGAGAUUAUAUCAUUGCCAAUAAGGGUUAUCCAAGGCGUGGUUAUUGCCAGUUGAAAAAACAAUUUUUUUUACUAUAUUGUAUAUAUUAGGUAUCUUAAUAAUAUUUAAUGUUACCUGGUUA